AAGACUUUAAAGAUUUGAGUCCUAAAAAUUUUAUGUAAGGUCAUUGCAAAUAUUCGAUUUUUCAAUACAAUGCUCUAGGAUAUAUUUUUUUGUGCAUUUAACAUGAUUAUCUAUUCAUGCAUGCUUUAAGUUAUGAUAAAAUAAUACUUAUCUUAUUGUCUGAAUUAAUUGAUUUAUGAUUGCCAUGUGUUAAAUGAGAGUCCUGAUAAUUCUAUAUACAUGUGCACUAGUGUUGUUGGAAACUUAAAAGUUGUGGCUGUCAAGAGUAAUGAUUAUUAUCAAGAGUCAUGAUUGUUUAAAACAUCGGUAUUCUCAUAUUUUAUUUAUUGGCUCAAGAUAAACUUUGCAUAAUUUACAUAACUACCACUCCUAUAUUUAAUGUGAUAUCUUUCAUGUUGCUUGUACUUCAGAAGUGAUAUAUAUAUUGGAUGUGCAUUGAGAUAAGAGGCAGCAGACGUUAACAGUCAUAAUUAAUAUAGGAAGUUGAAAAGUCUAUGCAGAGAACAUAACCUAUAUAAAUUUGUUUCUUACUGGAUCAUUUUUUAAAGAGUCCAACAAAUAUCUGUUACAAUUGAAGAUAUCUUGGAUUGUUUAUCAGUAUAGUUCUAACGGAAAUAUUUGUUUUCAACGUAAAUAUUUUUAUGCAUCGGAACUCUAUAAGCAACGGUAAUAAAUUGGGCUAUAAAAAGAGAACUGAGAUAUCAGUGAAACACACAACAUUUGAAUUAAUUUUUGCACUCAUAUACUUGAAAAUCUAUUCCACUAUUCUUGGUGCAAAUUUUGAGCUGAUGUGCAAUUCAUAUUCAAAUUACUCUCAGUUAAUUUUCGUGAGCUUAAUAUUGGUGAUAUCUCUCUCUUUUACUACUUGAUCAUUACAUUCAUUAGUUGGGCCUUGCAUUGUUAAAUUGCUUAUUUGCUUUGAUCAUUAGACCUCUAUAUUUGUAAUCAUAUAUUUUUAGACUAAGUGUUGUCUAAAGGAAUUUAAUCCAGUUGGAUUAAGGGUUGGUGCUUAAGGGGUGCAUUGGUGCACAAGGAGCAAGUGUGCUCUACUGAAUAAUUAUAAUUCAAAUUUGAUAGAAUCUGUUUUGUAACAAGAGUCAAUUUAAAGAAUAAAAGUGAGUCUCCAAUACUAGUUAAUAUUGGACGUGGACUAGGCUAUUAUUAUAGAGGGUAAUAGUUGAACGUAAAAAAUCUUAGUGUUGAUUUUAUUACAUGCUUUACUUUAAUUACUCACAAAAACUAGUUAAUUAUCUAAAUAGUUAGAAUUUAAAUAUUUGCAUUGUCUUGUGAUAAUUCAUUAACACCAAAUAUUUUUACUAAGUUAUAAUUUCAGCAAAAUAUUUUCAUAAAAUCAAAUAGUCAAUUCGGCAGGUCAUAUUCAUUCAGCAAGUUGCAUUGAUCAAUAUAAUAGGCUGUAUUCGAUAGUUUGGUUUAAAGUUUAAAAAAUUAGUCAUAAUUUGUACCCACACUUAUUCAACCCCUUCUAAGUGUAGUGUGCCUUAAUCUGCUUGCUUAAAUUCCCAUGUGUGUGGUGAUGUCUUUGGCAUGCUCACCAAAAGAGAUUGCCAGAUUAUGCCUUUCCUUCAACCAUGCAACAUUAAAUUUUGAUAAUUCCAAGUCUUUAAGGCUGUUUUGAAUGAAUGAAUGAGCUUGUGCACCAAGUGACUGUCCUGUAUGAUGCUGAAAUAGUUCGAUUAUAUGAAUGACAGACUCCAUGAGUACCGUCUUAAUGCCAGGCAUGUUGAAUUUACAAUCUGAUGAAAUAUCACCGUACUUGGCAAAUAUUUGCUCAGUUAUUGGUGCAUGGUCCUUGCGCAAUCUCCUCAAGGAGGGUUCUGCCCUUCCGCAUGAUCUAACACAGGAGCCACCAGAUUUUCCUCAGAAGCGAUCAUUUGGCCUCCACCGCCGUGUGUUUCCAGAACCAGUGAUUGUGUCCUAUCCAGAACCAGUGAUCGUGCCCUAUCAGUAGCAUUCAGAAUUUUAUCAAAAAAAUUUCUCACAAUUUUUUUUCUCAGACAUUCUGAUUUUUCUUGGUUUUUUUACAGGCAAAGGCGUAUGCCCAUCCAUACUUGGUGUCAAAUUUACCCUUUCCCUUGCCAGCUUCACACUUUUUGCAGCAAUUAACACACUGCCUCAAAACAAAAGAGUGUUCAUCACACCAUAACCAUCUAAUCCCCCUUCUUCAAACUCAAGAAAUUGUAUCUACAUUAUGUUAAAAACAGGAAUCCAUGCUACUACAAGAUUUUAGCCCCUCUUAUGAAAAAUCCAAGUAUCUACAUCAUAACAAAAUUAAACAAGAAAAUAGCACUUAGUAACGAGAACGAAAGGGUAAACAUCUGAAAGUAAAAAAAUCCAUGAGCACUUCAUCC
rnacentral:lncRNA from 1 species